UAGGAAAUUAACAAUAUAAACAGCUGCGACGACAAGUAAAUGUGAACGCUCAGUUAUUUAUGCGGCUGACCUUUUUCUAAACUUAACGGGUAUCUCAGCAGGUUAUCUAUACACAGCAAAUUACGUUUUCAUGCACGUGGAGAUAGAAUCUAUAUAAUUACACAAGUAAUUAUUGCACCAAUGGGGAGCAAGUGCCCGUUAAAAUAAAUGCGUGUAUACAUAUGUGUUACCGACGAAAGAUGAUAUAUGUUUGUCAAAAACGCUUAUAGUACCUUGCCUGCCUAAAGACUUCUCUAGGUGGGGGCGGUAAGGGCGAUCAUAAUGUGUAUUCCACAUGUGCGGAUCGCAUGUAUAUAUAUAUAUAUAUAUAUAUAUAUAUAUAUAAGUGGGUAUCACUCGUGCACAAGUUGACAAAAAUCGAAUCUUUUAAUUUUUUAUUUAAUUGAUAGACGCAAUAAACUUUGGGGCCUUUCCUUCCCUUCUCUUUGCA